GGUCCGCGCUGGGGCUGCUCCCGCUUCCCCCACUCCCGUAGCACUGUGGGCCCCUUCCUGGCCCAGGCCGCCACUCCGCCGCUCCCGAGGCGGCACGAGCCCCGUGCACGGGCUCAGGUUGAGGCGAGCGGAGAGCUAGGAGCGCGCCGCGGAUUCUGCGCACUGUUUGGUGUUUGGCAACCCCUGGUGUCAUCCCGGCUACCCUGGCACUGGUCGCGGCUCUGGGAUACUCUGCGUGGAGAAAGGAGGCGCGCACGAGAAGAAGAGCCUCUCGAACUACGGCGGAAGAGGGGACGUACCCUAGAAAAUGUUGGAGAUUUUUCCUAGGAAGAAAGUGCUCAUUUUCCUUGGAGGUCCAGAUGUUACUUGCAACAGAUGCUUCUCGCAUUUUCUUGCGCUGGUGAUGCACCCAGUCAGAGGUAGUGAAGUGAAAAAUAACUGAGGAGGAACUGAGCGUGCUCUUGGCAACCUUUUCGAAAAGGAGCUCGCCCAGGCUGAAAAUAGGCAUCCUUGGCUGACUGUUUAGCUCUUUGAAAAUUCUGGGUGUUUUGUUUUGUUUCUGUUCUGGUCGACAGAGCCAUCUAUAUGCUGAUCUCUUUCAGGUACAGUUAACUUACACUGUCUCACUUAAAUGCACAGAUAGGGUGAAGGUGUUCAAAAUCCGGAAGUGUAAAAAUGUCUCUCUGAAAGAAUAAAGUAAAAUGUACCAAUCACUCUGUACUGGAAUAGCUUUAAUGUGGUCAGUGUCCUUAGAAAGGAAGAGUUUCCUUAUAAUUGACACGAUGCAAAAAUAGCAUGAUUUUGUUUGCAUAUUUUUAUCACUUCUUGGUAUGCUGCAGCACACUCAUAGUGUGAUCAAUCUGGAGGUUUUAUUCACAAGUUGGCCUGUCCUUCGGGGAGAACUCGCUUGCCUGCUUUCUUCGGCAGUUAGGAUCCGACCUAGCCAUGUGGUGUGUGCAAGUAGGGAGUUCUAUCCACAGUUAACACUUUAAAACUUCCCUGCAAUGUAUGUUCAUCCCAUACACAGACACACAGACACAAAGCUUCGAUUGUUUUUAUGAACUUAAAUAAAAAAUGUUUGGGGCCAUCAGAUUUAUUUUAAAAGUUAGGCUUGUUUUAUUGCUCAUUUUCAGAAUAGUGGUUAUUGCUUUAAUUUUAGUUGCUGUGCCAUAGAGACAUGUAAAUGGCAGUGAGGUGGGGAGGGUCUGUAUUUGUCUUACAGUAUCACAUUUACAAAUGUUUACUUUGUAUUAUGUCCUUGUGCUGCUCAAACAACUGGACAGGUUUCUGUAGAACCAUAUUCCUUUACAGUCUCCAUAAAGCCACUCUGUCAUUCAGAGACUCUGCGUAAAGUUACAUUAAACACCGGCAGGUGUAAUUACAUCGACUAGAAUAUUAAAUAUACUGUUUUGUGAUGCUAAACUACAGAAUUCUCAUCCCUGAGCUUUCAACCCAACUUGUGUAGUGGGUUCAGGAUGAAAACAUUAUACACUGUCAUAUGAAAGAACAUAUGUGCAGGUAUGCAAGAUACGAAAAACGUCAUUCACUAAACAUUGUGAAUGAAGUUCAGUCUCAUCGUGAAAAUUAUCUUGACAUGUACAGAUAAGGAUUGAGAAAAGAUAUUUAUAUUGGCGAGGUAAAUUAUAAUCUACUCUUUUCAAAUUUAAAGUUAAAAAUCCAUUGUAAUGAAUUAUUACCGUGGGAAAAAUAUUUGUACGUGUGAUUGAAAUAUAUGCUUAUAUGUUCAAUACCUCAUAAAAAAUAAAAUACAUAAGCCUCCUUGGA